GAAGACAAGAUUAGAGAAAGAAAAGUGAAAAGAAACGAACAAAGCCUCCAAGAAAUAUGGGACUGUGUGAAAAGACCAAAUCUACGUUUGAUUGGUGUACCUGAAAGUGACAGGAAGAAUGGAACCAAGUUAGAAAAUACUCUUCAGGAUAUUAUCCAAGAGAACUUUCGUAACCUAGCAAGGCAGGCCAAUUUUCAAAUUCAGGAAAUACAGAGAACACCACAAAGAUACUCCUCGAGAAGAGCAACCCCAAGACACAUAAUUGUCAGAUUCACCAAGGUUGAAAUGAAGGAAAAAGUGUUAAGGGCAGCCAGAGAGAAAGGUUGGGUUAACCACAAAGGGAAGUCCAUCAGACUAACAGCGGAUCUCUCAAGUCAGAAGAGUGGGGGCCAAUAUUCAGCAUUCUUAAAGAAAAAAAUUUUCAACGCAGAAUUUCAUAUCCAGCCAAACUAAGCUUCGUAAGUGGAGGAGAAAUAAUAUCCUUUACAGACAAGCAAAUGCUAAGAGAUUUUGUCACCACCAGGCCUGCCUUACAAGAGCUCCUGAAGGAAGCACUAAACAUGGAUAGGAACAACCAGUACCAGCCACUGCAAAAACAUGCCAAAUUGUAAAGACCAUCAACGCUAUGAAGAAACUACAUCAAUUAAUGGGCAAAAUAACCAGCUAGCAUCAUAAUGACAGGAUCGAAUUCACAUAUAACAAUAUUAGCCUUAAAUGUAAAUGGGCUAAAUGCCCCAAUUAAAAGACACAGACUGGCAAAUUGGAUAAAGAGUCAAGACCCAUCAGUGUGCUGUACCCAGGAGACCCAUCUCACGUACAAAGACACACAUAGGCUCAAAAUAAAGGGAUGGAGGAAGAUCUACCAAGCAAAUGGAAAGUAAAAAAAGCAGGGGUUGCAAUCCUGGUCUCUGAUAAAACAGACUUUAAACUAACAAAGAUCAAAAGAGACAAAGAAGGGCAUUACAUAAUGGUAAAGGGAUCAAUUCAACAAGAAGAGCUAACUAUGCUAAAUAUAUAUGCACCCAAUACAGGAGCACCCAGAUUCAUAAAGCAAGUUCUUAGAGACCUACAAAGAGACUUAGACUCCCACACGAUAAUAAUGGGAGACUUUAACACCCCACUGUCAAUAUUAGACAGAUCAAUGAGACAGAAAAUUAACAAGGAUAUCCAGGACUUGAAGGUCAGGAGUUCGAGACCAGCCUGGCCAACAUGGUGAAACCCCGUCUCUACUACAAGUAUAUAAAAAAAAUUAGCUAGGCGUGGUGGCCCAUGCCUGUAGUCCCAGCAACUCGGGAGGUGAGACAGGAGGAUCACCUGAGCCCAGGAAUUCCAGGGUGCAGUCAGUUAUGGAUGUGUCACUGCAUUCCACCUUGGACAACAGAGCUAGACCCUGUAUAUUCA
rnacentral:lncRNA from 1 species